rnacentral:lncRNA from 1 species
GAUCAGUUCACAAUUGUAUAUCAUUUUGUACCCUUCUAGCUUAUGAUUUGGUUAUGUUAUUGAGUCAAACGUGUGCUUUUAAUCCCUUUUCUGUUUAUCAUUCAGUUCAUUGGGCCUUAGGUAGCAAUGGUGUCUUUGGAUAAGAAAAGAUGCAAAAUGGUGCAAAAACGAGCAAACUGGGUUAGCAACUCAUUUCGGCCUUAACAUCUUUCUCCGAACUUGGAUUGGCCCAAAUAAUAUGUAGUUGGAAAGAUGAGAGUCUGAACUUCAAGAUGGACUACUCAAAUGCAUCAUAUUAUGAAGUUGAACCCAAUUCGUGAGCCCAUAUACACACCAGGCUCAGGAUUGCAGUUUCCAGUUGUUGAGCCUUGGAUACUUUCUUUGAGCCAUGUGACUCACCACAGCUUUCCUUGACUUUAGACCUGACAUGUUGAGCAAUUAAGGGAGGUCUGUCAGCUACUCAAGUGCAGAGGAGAGCCAUGUGACUCACCACAGCUUUCCUUGACUUUAGACCAGACAUGUUGAGCAAUUUAGGGAGCAAUUAAGGGAGGUGUGUCAGCUACUCAAGUGCAAAGGAGCCUUGACUUUAGACCAGACAUGUUGAGCAAUUUAGGGAGCAAUUAAGGGAGGUGUGUUAGCUACUCAAAGGCAAAGGAUUCACUCAAUUGACCAAUAAUUCACUCCAGCCAUCCUAUAUCACUCCAUUCAGCCCAAAAUCAGGAGGAGGAACAACUCCAACAAGCCUUCCUUCCAUUUCCUACGAAUUUGUUCUUUCUCUGCCAUCACCAACCACCCAAACUCAUCCCGAAUCACCUCUUUAGUUGCCAUACUCUAGACAUGAGAAAGUUCUUGGAGUAGCAUUAGAAGUGGAGAAGCACCUGGAGAAGCCUUGGAAACCACAAGCAACUUCAGAAUUGGGUUUCUCUACUCUUAUUGCAUUCAAUAUGUUUUCUCAUUUUUGCUUAAGUUUCAUUUCCAUUAUGAGUAGCUAAAUUCAUAACUAGGGCUAUGAUGUAACCUAACAUGAAUAUUCUGGGUUUAUAAGUUGAAGUUUUGAGUUUCAAGUUUGAUUCAUGAUUCAUAUUCCUAUUCUUUAUGCUUAUCAGUUAAUAUGCUUGUUUGGAUGAUUGAUCACCAUUAGAACUCGUAUAUUAGCUACCUUGGUUUGAAUCAAGAGUAGACACCAUGCUUUGAUUUGAAUUGAACUAUGAAUAAGAAAAGUAUGUAUGGACAUUCGACAACAGGGAUUAGAUACAUGCUUGGUUGUUUAAAUUGUUCUUCUAUGCUUAAUGGGUUCCUAAUGCUUAAUUUAGAUUAGACAACAAAUGAUCAAGUUAGGGAAUUAGGAGCACAGGGUUAGGACCAGACACCAUGGCCUAAUCAUACUUUAGCUAGAAUCAAUCUUUGAAUUCGAAUGAGACUUGUCACUUGACUCCUUAUAACCCAGAAUUGAAUUGUUAUGGUGAAUCGAAUGCCCUAGUCUCCCAAUCUGUUUUCCAGCCUACAAAAGUACUCUUUGUUACAUUUGUUCACUUUGCUUUUGUUUGAAAUUUCGUUUUGCCUCAUUUGUUCAACAAUUACAAUCACUCUUGCUUUAAAUUCUAUUUUAGACUUAACCUCCUACUUUCUUGAAUUUGGUAAUCUAAGUACAUAACUAAUUUUAACUUCUCAGUCCUCGUGGGUACGACCUCGUACUUGUCUUGCUAUACUACUAAUUGGCCCGUACAAUUGCGAGUUAACAUUUUAACAACAAAUUUUGGCGCCAUUGCCGGGGACUGAAUGAAAGUUCUUCCCUGGUUAUGUGCCCAAGGUUACCCUAUUCUUUUAGAAGUACUAAUUAACUCAAAUUAUUUUCUGUUUCAGGUAGUUUAUGUCUAGUAAUCCUUUCCUUGAACAAGUGAGGUCUUCAUUCCAACGUUCGAGAUCUUCGAACGCAGGGCCAUCUUUGCAACCAAACCGGGUGAUCUCUGAAAUUCAGAAUCGUCUAGAAAGAGAGUUAGCAACUGCAAAAGAGCAAGCCAUUGCCACAUUUGAAGGUCUUGCUAUCCACACUGACCUCCCAGGGUCUUCACCUUCAAAUUCGGAAUCAAGUUCAGACCAAGAAGAAGAAGAGAUGGCUGCCAAUGAGUUCAUGGGAGACCUUGAUAUCCCAACAAUUCCAGCAUCCCCUUCAAGCAUCUUGCUGCCCACCGCAGCUCGAAACUAUGAGCUUAAAUCUUCUCAUCUUAAUAUGCUCCCUUCUUUUUAUGGUUUACCUAAUGAAGAUCCAUUAACUCAUAUAAAGGAUAUUUUUAAUGUUGUGAGCUCUUUUCCCUUGACAGGUGUGACGGAAGAGCAACUUCGAAUGAGAGUGUUUCCUUACACUUUGAAAGAUAAGGCGAAAUAUUGGUUGAAUUCUUUGAAGCCUGGUUCACUCAUGACUUGGGGAGCCAUUCAAAAGAAGUUCUUGGAGAAAUAUUUCUCCACGCAAAAAACUGACAUGCUUAGGGACAAGAUCCUUCUAUUUGCACAACAAGAUGAUGAGUCGUUUUGUCAAGCAUGGGAGAGAUUCAACGGGCUGCUCAAUCAAUGUCCUCAUCAUGGGAUUCCAUUGAAGCUUCAGAUGCGUAUGUUUUAUAAAGGACUAACCCCCUGUAGCCAUAAUAUUGUCACUAAUUUUGCAGGUGGUUCUUAUAAGACUAAAACUCCAGAAGAAACAUAUGAACUCUUUGAGGAGAUAGCAAUGGAGACCCAACACACCGAUACAAGAGGUAAACGUAUUGCUGGUGGUUCUAAUGAUUCUUCCAGUGUGCAGAUUUCCAAAUUGGAACAAAAGCUAGAUGCCCUCCUUGCAUUGAACUCAAGAAACCCUUUGAAGGAAGUGUGUAGCAUCUGUGAAACUCAUGAUCAUCCUACCAUUUCUUGUCCCUUUGGGGCUGCAUAUCCAGAAUUUGUGCAAGAGCAAGCUAAGUUGGUGAAUUCCUACAACCGAGGUCCAAUAAAUGACCCAUAUUCUCAAAGUUAUAAUCCAGGUUGGAGGAAUCAUCCAAACUUUUCAUGGAGGAAUACACAGAAUCAAGCGAAUCCCCCUUCACUCCAAAGGCCACAACAAUCAUCAUCGUUGGAGGAUAUAGUGAAGCAAAUGGCAAUCAACCAAAACAAUUUCCAGCAAACAACACAAGCUGCCAUCUCCAAGUUGGAAGUCCAAUUGGGCCAGAUAGCUACUGAAAUAGCUCAAAGAGAACCUGGGAAAUGGCCAAGUCAAACCGUGAUCAAUCCAAAAAACCAAGAAGCCAAGGCCGUUCAUGUGCUCAGAUCAGGUAAGAUUGUUGAUAACAAAGUUGGUUCUGAUCUAUCAAAUGAUGUUGUGGUUGUAGAGGAUGAAGAUGAGAGGAAACCACAGCUAUGGAAGGAGAACAACCCAAAACGUCCCAAUCUGCUCCUAAGGCCAAAUCUGAUUCUCAGAAACCCAAUCCAUUUCAAUUGCAUAAAAGAGAUGACAAAUUUGUGCCAUCACAUCUUCAUCAAGAUAGAUACAUCCCACCUCCUCCAUAUAUUCCACCGAUUCCAUUUCCAGGCCGUUUGAAGAAAGCAAAUCAAGAUAAGGCUUUUAAAGAGAUUUAUGAUAUUUUGAGUAAAGUUAAUAUCAAUUUGCCCUUGCUUGAUGUUGUUAAACAGAUUCCUGCAUAUGGAAAGUUCAUCAAGCACUUGAUGACUCACAAGCUCAAUUUUACUCCAAGUGAAGAAGUAAAGCUCAACAAGAAUGUGAGUGCUGUGUUGCAAAGGAAGCUUCCAUCAAAACUAGAAGAUCCUGGCAGCUUUAACAUUCCCAUUAACAUCGGAGAUAAGACGGUUGGAAGAGCCAUGUUGGACUUGGGAGCAAGCAUCAAUGUAAUGCCAUAUUCAGUUUAUCAGGCGCUUGGCUUAGAAGGGAUAAAGAAAACCUCAAUUCGUCUUGAACUAGCUGAUCAUUCUAUCAAAUAUCCAAAAGGUAUUGUAGAAGAUAUUUUAGUUCAAGUUAAUACACUCAUUCUUCCGGCUGAUUUUGUAGUGAUGGAUAUGGAGGAUACCCCAUAUGAAGACUGUGUUGAUCCCAUUCUCCUCGGGCGACCAUUCAUGGCCACUGCAGACACAAUCAUCAAAGUGAAAGAUGGCACCCUCUCCAUGACUGUUUUGGGUGAAACUGUUGAAUUUAAAGUGUUUGAUGCUCUGUCUCAACCUUCUAUCACUCUUGAUACUUGUUUUUCAAUUGAUGUUGUGGAUCAUGAGGUUUCUUCUAAAAUUGUGCAGAAAAAGUCUAAUGAUGCUUUGGAAGCGGUCCUAACACAAGAAGAGGAAGAUCUCUUUGAAUCAGAGUUCCAAGAAGUGAUGGCUGCCUUAGAAGUGUUUCAGCCAUACCCACCAUCCUUUAGGCCACCACUUGAGCCUCUUGUAUCAUCCUCCACAAAAUUGGAGCCAUCCAUUAUCACCCCACCAAAGCUAGAACUUAAACCUCUACCCAAUCAUCUUAAAUAUACUUAUUUGGGUGCUAAUAAAACUCUCCCUGUUAUAAUUGCUACAAGUCUCACUUCACAUGAAGAGGACAGCUUAAUUGAAGUUCUGAAAGAACAUAAAACAGCCCUUGGAUGGACCAUAGCAGACAUCAAAGGAAUUAGUCCAAGCAUGUGCAUGCACCGAAUUUUAAUGGAAGAAGACAGCAAACCAUCUCGUGAUGCACAAAAGAGGCUAAAUCCCAAUAUGAAAGAGGUGGUUAGGGCUGAAGUUUUGAAGCUACUCGAUGUGGGAAUCAUCUACCCAAUUUCAGAUUCUAAGUGGGUGAGUCCUGUGCAAGUGGUUCCAAAGAAGUCCGGAAUCACCGUUGUAAAGAAUGAGAAGAAUGAGCUAGUUCCAACACGCACUAUCACUGGUUGGAGAGUUUGCAUUGAUUACAGGAAGUUGAACACAUCCACGAGAAAAGAUCAUUUUCCCUUGCCUUUUAUUGAUCAAAUGCUUGACCGUUUAUCUGGCCAUGCUUACUACUGUUUUCUUGAUGGAUUUUCAGGUUAUAAUCAAAUUCCCAUUGCUCCGGAAGACCAGGAGAAAACCACGUUCACAUGCCCAUUUGGUACAUUUGCUUAUAGAAGGAUGCCAUUUGGUUUGUGCAAUGCUCCAGCAACUUUCCAAAGAUGCAUGAUGGCAAUCUUUUCUGAUAUGGUGGAACGAUUCAUGGAGGUAUUUAUGGAUGAUUUUUCAGUUUUUGGUUCAUCUUUUGAUGAUUGUCUUCACCACUUGUCUCUAGUGCUUACAAGAUGUCAGGAAACAAAUCUGAUUUUGAAUUGGGAGAAGUGUCACUUCAUGGUAAGACAAGGAAUUGUGCUAGGCCAUGUUGUUUCAAACAAGGGAAUUCAAGUGGACAAAGCCAAAAUAAAUAUCAUCACAAAUCUACCACCCCCUUCCUCUGUUAAAGGAGUUAGAAGUUUUCUGGGUCAUGCUGGAUUCUAUAGAAGGUUCAUAAAAAAUUUUUCAAGCAUUUCAAGACCAUUGUGUAAUCUCCUUGCUAAGGAUGCUGUUUUUGAGUUUGACGAGAUUUGCAUGGAAGCCUUUACGACUUUGAAGAAAGAGCUAACUUCAGCCCCUAUUAUCAUAGCUCCAGAUUGGUCUUUACCAUUUGAAAUAAUGUGUGAUGCCUCUGACUUUGCUAUUGGUGCAGUUUUAGGUCAAAAGAAGAACAAGCUUCCCCAUGUGAUUCAUUAUGCGAGCCGGACCUUGAAUGAUGCCCAACUCAAUUACUCCACAAUCGAAAAGGAGUUGCUUGCUGUGGUUUUUGCUUUAGAAAAAUUUCGCCCUUACCUUGUUGGUUCUAAAGUAAUUGUUUAUUCUGACCAUGCUGCUCUUAGAUACUUGCUCACUAAGAAGGACGCCAAACCUCGCUUGAUCAGAUGGAUUCUCUUGCUGCAAGAGUUCGAUUUGGAGAUUCGAGACAAGAAGGGAUGUGAAAAUGUGGUGGCUGACCAUUUGAGCAGAAUUGCGGUUGAAGAGCAAGGAAAAGCUGUACUACCAUUGAAUGAGACUUUCCCAGAUGAACAACUAUAUGUUGCCCAAGUCAAAGAGCCAUGGUAUGCUGAUUUUGUUAAUUAUCUUGCUUGUGGUGUUCUUAGAAAUGAUCUAACUUAUCAGGACAAAAAGAAGUUCUUUUCCAUGGUGAAACAUUAUGUCUGGGAUGAACCUUUCUUAUUCAAGCAUUGCCCAGAUCAACUCAUUAGAAGAUGUGUUCCAGAAGAAGAACAAGAAAGCAUCCUUAGGCAUAGCCACGAAUUGGCUUGUGGAGGCCACUUUGGAGCCAAGAAAACAGCACUUAAAAUUUUGCAAUCAGGUUUCUUUUGGCCUACUCUAUUUAAAGAUGCAUUUAAUUUUUGUGUUAAGUGUGAUAGGUGUCAAAGGAUGGGAAACAUAAGCCGCAGGAACGAACUGCCAUUGAAGAACAUACUCUUUGUGGAACUCUUCGAUGUAUGGGGUAUUGAUUUCAUGGGACCAUUCCCAUCUUCCUUUGGUUAUACCUACAUACUUGUUGCUGUUGAUUAUGUGUCUAAAUGGGUGGAAGCCAUAGCCACCAAAACCAAUGAUCAUAAGGUGGUCCUGAAGUUCUUGAGGGACAAUAUUUUCACAAGGUUUGGUACUCCAAGGGCUGUCAUUAGUGAUGGAGGCAGCCACUUUUGCAACAAGCUAUUUGAAGCACUCAUGAAGAAGUACAAUAUCACCCACCGAGUCUCUACACCAUAUCAUCCUCAAACUUCUGGUCAAGUAGAAAUAAGCAACAGAGAAAUUAAGCAUAUCCUAGAGAAGGUGGUGAAUAGUACAAGGAAAGAUUGGGCUGCCAAGCUCAAUGAUGCAUUAUGGGCUUAUAGGACUGCAUAUAAAACUCCCAUCGGAAUGAGCCCUUAUCGUCUUGUGUUUGGGAAAGCCUGUCACUUGCCAAUGGAGCUUGAACACAAUGCUUUUUGGGCCAUCAAGAAGUUGAAUUUUGAUCUGGACAAGGCCGGCCAUGUUAGAAAGUUUCAGCUCAAUGAAUUGGAAGAAAUUCGACAUGAGUCCUAUGAGAAUGCAAAGCUAUACAAAGAACAUACCAAGAGUUACCAUGAUAGGAACAUUCAACGGAAAGAAUUCACCAAAGGUAUGUCAGUUCUUUUGUUUAACUCACGUUUGCGUCUCUUUCCAGGAAAAUUGAAGUCUAGGUGGCUUGGCCCAUUCACCGUGGUCAAUGUAUCUCCCUAUGGAGCUGUGGAGAUUCAAAAUCCUAAAGAUGGCUCGACUUUCAAAGUAAAUGGACAACGUUUAAAGCCAUUCUAUGAGGGAGUGUCAGUUGGAAUUCAAACUGGUCAUGUGGUGGAUCAUCUUCCCUUCGUACAAUCAAGUUAGCUAAUGGCAUAAUGUCUUGCCAAGACAUUAAAGGCGCUUCUUGGGAGGCAACCCAUGUGUUGAAGAAUAAGGUGCUUGGUAGCGGUCGACCUAAUCGCAUCAAGAGGGAGUUUCUCUAAUACUUUGUCUUAAACUUUCCCCUUAUUAUUCACAUGUUCUCACUCAUCUUUGUUAUGCUUUAACAUUGAGGACAAUGUUCAAUUCAGGUCUGGGGGGGAGGUUUUCAAUUUUUGUUCAUUUGUGUUUACAAUUUUUGUUCAUUUGCGUUCGCUUGUCACUAUUUUUUUUAUUUAUUUUAAAACAAUUUCAUACAACCAAUGCUAUGGAGCUGCCAUUGAGAUUUUCAUUUCAGAAAUUUUACACUUCACAAAGCUUUUGCUCUUAGAAUUCUGGUGGCUAAAGUACCAUGCUCAGAUUCUUGAAGGAGAAUAGUGGAGACUACCCUAGUGAGCUGUUUCGAGCCUAAUUGCUUUCUUGAGAGGGUUUAAAGUGUUUCUAUUCCUCAUCUCUACUUAUUUUCUUCAAUUCACUCUAAAUGAUCUCAUUGUUCCAUUUUGAUUGAAUACUAAGGAUGAUUCUCUUUGCAGAUAUCAGGUGCGUGCUCUCACCCAUGAAUGAACUCAUUGAAGUGAUGCUAGGCUCUGCGUGUAUAACCAUUUUCUGUGCUUUCUUUUCACCCUACCCAUUCGUGUGUUCCAUCAGCUCUCUUGCAGCCAAACACUACAAGCCUUUUUCUUCUAUCACCCUCAUAAUUCCCCUAACUUUGUAUCUCAAUCAGAGAUAUUUAACCUAUUAUAGCCAUACCCUAUAGCUUAGAAAUAUACCAAGGUGUGCGAAGAUAAAGUUUGAAGCAAGGAGGUUGCUGCCACAUGCCCAAAUGUAAAUUGGUGUGAAUCUAUGCAAUAAAGUUAAAGAAGAAGUAGAUCAAGUCAAAAAAAAAAAAAAAAGAAAGAUAAAGAGAAAGUGUUUCGAUUUGAUCUAAAUGUGAAAUAUAAAGUCUAUGCCAGAUGAUGCUAUGAAGUUGCAGCCAUACUAUUCUAAAUCAAUGAUACCUUGCAGAUCAAUGAAGAAUGCAACCUUGGUAUGUUCUUAAGUUAGUUGUGUUCCUUCCAAUUCUUCCACUUCCCUUAACCUUAGCCUUUCAUUACAACCUUGUGAAAGACCUAGCUGAUCUUUGAGGAUGUAUUCAUGGGUGCUGGUAUGUAUGUGUGUAUCUCUACUCUUAGUAUUUGAUUCCCUUCAUGAGAUCUAACCAAAUAUUGUGCUUCUAUUUCAUAUACUCACUUAUGCUUGUUUGACAGAAUAAAACCAUAGGUUCUGAGUGAUUGAGUGCUAGAUGUGAGAAUUAGAGUUGAAGCAUGUUCUUCCUUCAAGAUUUGAGUAUGUUUACUUUGAAGCCGUGUGCCUUUGAGCUAUAGCUUCCACUUUACACACUUAUUGAUCAUCUAUCUUGGUAACUCUAUGGUGUUGGAUGCAUGAUUAAAGUUUUCUUUCAUUAGUUGUUUUCAAAGUUAGUUUUCUAACCUUUUGGUGUUAGAGAGUCAGUAAAGCAUUUGUGGGUAUCGUUUCUGUUAAACCCUCAGGAGACACAACUCUUCCGAUUAGGGAUGCCGAGAGGUUUAAAGGCUUGUUGCAUAUGCACAUUGCAAUCGAGUUACCUACAGAAGUGGUUUAGUUAACUUCUUGUUUUGUUUUCAACUUUAUUCUCUUUUGUUUUGCUCGAGGACUAGCAAAAUCUAGGUCUGGGGGUAUUUGAUCAGUUCACAAUUGUAUAUCAUUUUGUACCCUUCUAGCUUAUGAUUUGGUUAUGUUAUUGAGUCAAACGUGUGCUUUUAAUCCCUUUUCUGUUUAUCAUUCAGUUCAUUGGGCCUUAGGUAGCAAUGGUGUCUUUGGAUAAGAAAAGAUGCAAAAUGGUGCAAAAACGAGCAAACUGGGUUAGCAACUCAUUUCGGCCUUAACAUCUUUCUCCGAACUUGGAUUGGCCCAAAUAAUAUGUAGUUGGAAAGAUGAGAGUCUGAACUUCAAGAUGGACUACUCAAAUGCAUCAUAUUAUGAAGUUGAACCCAAUUCGUGAGCCCAUAUACACACCAGGCUCAGGAUUGCAGUUUCCAGUUGUUGAGCCUUGGAUACUUUCUUUGAGCCAUGUGACUCACCACAGCUUUCCUUGACUUUAGACCUGACAUGUUGAGCAAUUAAGGGAGGUCUGUCAGCUACUCAAGUGCAGAGGAGAGCCAUGUGACUCACCACAGCUUUCCUUGACUUUAGACCAGACAUGUUGAGCAAUUUAGGGAGCAAUUAAGGGAGGUGUGUCAGCUACUCAAGUGCAAAGGAGCCUUGACUUUAGACCAGACAUGUUGAGCAAUUUAGGGAGCAAUUAAGGGAGGUGUGUUAGCUACUCAAAGGCAAAGGAUUCACUCAAUUGACCAAUAAUUCACUCCAGCCAUCCUAUAUCACUCCAUUCAGCCCAAAAUCAGGAGGAGGAACAACUCCAACAAGCCUUCCUUCCAUUUCCUACGAAUUUGUUCUUUCUCUGCCAUCACCAACCACCCAAACUCAUCCCGAAUCACCUCUUUAGUUGCCAUACUCUAGACAUGAGAAAGUUCUUGGAGUAGCAUUAGAAGUGGAGAAGCACCUGGAGAAGCCUUGGAAACCACAAGCAACUUCAGAAUUGGGUUUCUCUACUCUUAUUGCAUUC